CAGAAGCGUAUAUUAAUGUUGUUGCAGUUAAAACGCUCGUAGUUGGAUCUUGGAGGUUUAGGUAAGAGCUCUGUCCGCCUGAAGUCGAGUACGGACUCUCCUCCUCUGUAUUUGGUAACAACGCACGCGGGCCCUUAAUUGGGUGUCGCGUGAGCGGGAGGGUGUAAAAGCCCGAGCGCGAGGGGAGGACGGGCGGUGAAAGCCGUAGCCGGUCGACCAGCGUUUUGCCUCAUUUACUUUGAAAAAAAUAGAGUGCUCAAAGCAGACCUUAGGGUCAUUGAAUAAUUCAGCAUGGGAUAAUAGAACACGAGAUUGAAUUCUUUUUGUUGGUAACAAAGAAUUUGAACUAAUGAUUAAAAGGGAUCGUCGGGGUGGUUUGUAUUGAAAAGCUAGAGGUGAAAUUCUUGGAUUUUUUCAAGACAAACAACUGCGAAAGCAAUCUACUAGGAGAUUCCCAUUA
rnacentral:rRNA from 1 species